rnacentral:rRNA from 1 species
GACGAACGCUGGCGGCGUGCUUAACACAUGCAAGUCGAACGGAAAGGCCCUGCUUUUGUGGGGUGCUCGAGUGGCGAACGGGUGAGUAACACGUGAGUAACCUGCCCUUGACUUUGGGAUAACUUCAGGAAACUGGGGCUAAUCCCGGAUAGGAGCUCCUGCUGCAUGGAGGGGGUUGGAAAGUUUCGGCGGUUGGGGAUGGACUCGCGGCUUAUCAGCUUGUUGGUGGGGUAGUGGCUUACCAAGGCUUUGACGGGUCGCCGGCCUGAGAGGGUGACCGGCCACAUUGGGACUGAGAGACGGCCCAGACUCCUACGGGAGGCAGCAGUGGGGAAUAUUGCACAAUGGGCGGAAGUCUGAUGCAGCAACGCCGCGUGCGGGAUGACGGCCUUCGGGUUGUAAACCGCUUUCGCCUGUGACGAAGCGUGAGUGACGGUAAUGGGUAAAGAAGCACCGGCUAACUACGUG